UGAGGGGGGCCUACAGGGGCCAGUUGUGGAUCAUGGGUAUGGGGGGGCCAUGGAGAAGGAGGGGGCCAGAGAGAGGCCAGGUGGCACUGGGGUGACUGGGACGUGGGGGCCCUGCUGGGGUUGUCCUCAAGGGUCCCAGCUGGAGACCUGGGACCGGACAGGUCCCCUGCAGGCAUAGCUUAAUCUGGGAGCGGAUCAAGUUCAACUGGUGCAGAAGACCAAGUAGUUACGAGUAUAUCGAACUGAGACUUUUAAAUUUACUCGUCUCUCUUAUUGUAUUUUUUUUCGCUUGUGCAGGGGAUAGUUGCGAGCAAGUUUUUCGUAACUUCUCCUUAAUGGAGUUGUGGUCCCUACCACAGCCUCUGCUCUAGCCCAGCUGCCCCGCGCCGCCGGGCCAGGAUCUGGCUGGCUUCACCUUGUCGCCAAAAGCCCCUGGUUAGGUGUAGUUCUGCUGGCGAAAUGGCAUCAUUUACCGUAGCUUAUCCCCAAGGUGGGGGAUGUUUUGGAGUCAGCUGUACGAACAAAAGCAUAGCUUUACUUGUGUUAGCAUGUCCCGGAAUAAAAGUGUCUUUAGCAUGAUGUUAGAGUUUUUAACAGUGACUUUCCUGAGAGAGACCUGGCUGAUGGCGUUGCGUCCCCUUCAAAGGGUUUGCUGUGCAGCUGUGCCGGUGGCAUUAUGCAGGCAACUCCCAGGUGAUGCUGUUUUUGCUAGCAAAGACUCUUAAAAUGAGCAAGAACAGUGCUGAGAGUAAGGGUUUUGCUGCUGUGACCGUGAAGGGGAAGUGUUUUAGAUGCUUUUUUUUUCUUUUCCUUUUCACCUCUUUCCACUGUCUUUUUCUAGCUACUAUUGCUAAUAAAUGUUUCUAUUGUAGGUAAGGGCACAGUCCUGCAACAAAAAUGAUGUUUAAACUCCUAAGUCUCUUAAGUACUUGGGGGAGAUGGGGAAUUCUCCACUUUAUUCUAAUCAUGAAAAGGAGGAGAAAGGUGCUGUGGCUGAAUUCUUGCCAGAUUGGUGUCGUGGAACCAAAUCAUGGUGCUCCAGGUUUCCACCAAAAAGUCGAGUCCAGACUGUGGCAUGCUGCGUACGGAGCUGUUUCGCUGCCAUCUGGCACACCAGUCGGGAUUUGAGGUGCUCUUUGGGACAUAUUACUUACUUAAGGUUGCACUGUUGACUGUGGCAGAGCCAGGUACUGGGCAUAGGCUCUCCUAGCAGUUUCCGUGCGGUUUAGGUAGCAAAUUUGAUGUGUGCUCAGCAUCUUGAGUGAAUCCCUGCUUAGGGGCUUCAGCCUACUGCAGGAACUGCUUGCCAACUCCUUUGUUGGAGACAUUUGGGUCUAACGCGAUUCUUGGUGAUCAGAUGUGAAGCACUGUACAAACUGAAAUGGCAUGAUGAGCCCAGUUUAUGAAGGUCGGACUAUACUGACGCAUACAACGUUUUGUAACUAAUGGUUUUGCUGUAAACAGGCCGGAGAUCUCUAUGGCUGCAGUACACCCAAAAAAAAAAAAGUUUUCCUUGUCAGCAAUGAAAGCGUGUGUGGUCAGAGAAGGCAGAUUGCAAAAUCUAACCAGUCCUGGAUGCAAAGUUCAGAUUAGUGAGAAGAAUUGCCAUGAACUUCUGAGUUUUAGUUUGUUACACGACAAGGAAGUAUUUUGUGAUGCUUGAGCCAUAAACGCUACUGUAAGUGGAUCCAUAACCAGCUUUGCUGGAGGUUUAGCAGAUUAUCGUUAGAAAUACGAAAUAUCCAGCUAAUGCUUUCACUAAAGAAUGUACCUUACGCUGCAUGUUUAUCCUCUGCUCUCUAGAUGCCUCUUGGAGGCAGAGUUAUCUGUGACUCCUGUUUUGGUGUGCUUUUUGCUUCCCUCUGCAGCUCAUGUUAUGCUAAAAGUGCUGUUUUGUUCAUGAUGAAAUGAUAGAGGGCUCUUGGGUGAAUUGUUGCUUUGAGCAGCCAAAGCAGACUGGGAGCAGGGGAAAGGAAGCGCCUGUUAAUCCACGAGGGAGGAACAGACGUGGCGAAGGCCAGAAAAAGUCCCAGUGCAGAAAGUCAUCAAACUGCGGCAGCUUUUACUUCUUUUAGAAAAGUCUUUAUGAAAUCACAAGGUGCUUGAGGUAAUUUUUUUUUUUCCCUCCAGUCAAAGAAAAGGCAAAGACUGUGACACUGCCACGCACCCAGAUGUGCCAAAGGUCUUGCAAAGCUGGAUUUAGGGCAGUGCCCUGAUUUAAAAACCCUGUUGUGAACGCUCCUGGUGUUUGCCGUAGCCCUCGCGGGGACAGCAAUGUUGUGUUUCCAGUGUGUGUUGGCAUAGAUCUCCUUAACGUGCACUGCCGGGUUUGUCAGCAGGCCUGCCGGGGAGCUGCCCUCUGCUACUUGCCGCCGUGGCCGGCGAAGGAGGUGUAGGAACUCCGUAGCCGUCCAGCCCCAGGUACAGGGUGGAUUUGAGUGAAUCAGGGCUUUGGCUGUAUGCCCAAGCUUUGGUUGCUAGGAAGUCGGGAACAGAAUAUAAGCUAGAGCAGUCCAAAGGUUGUUUUAGUUUGAAGCAGAACAAGGUUUAUCACUGUACUGAAAGCGAAUUUAAUUUUUCUUGGUCUUAACUGCAGGCCUGUUUUGAAGUCUUUUCUGUUUGUUUGUUUUUGUUUUCUGGCAGUAUGGCAGGAGGUCUUAUGAUGUGGUUAGUCUUGGGGUGAUCUCUAGCCCCACAUCAGUGGGCUCGUUCCUUGUCUUUGCUGCCUGGAGGCAUGCAACGUGUUGGGUUACUGCCAUAUCUCCUCGUGGAGGGGAAGGGCAAGCCUCGUGGGUAUCUGCUUUCAGGGAGAAACAAUACUGCUUUUGUUUCAAAAGCAUGCUAUUAACAUGGAGAGAAGAUACAGUUAUCAGGGGAAUUAGCCCCACCAUGGGAAAGGGUGGCCUUGUGGCCAGCUUGUGCUCUGGUUCAUCCUCUCUUAAGAAGCUCAUAGCUGCAGGAUCUGCUGUGAUCUUGAACCUGCAGACAGGCUGCUAAAAUAGUGCAUGCUGCUGUAGUUGUUAUAUCGGCCAAAGACAAACUUCACGCUCCAACUCAGUGCUACUUCCCCCGCCUCCCCCUCGGGUAGGUGGAGAUCGCAAAGUAAGAGUAGAUGAAACUGCUGUUUAUUUAAAAUCCCGCCUGCACAGAAAGGACAAUGCUGUGGAGGCAGAAAGAAAUGUGUAGUUCACAGCGUAGACUUGAUAAAUGUCACGCUGCUCCUUGCCAACCCUUCUUGGAGGGACAAAGCCAGGCUGAAGGAAAGGUAUUCCUGAAUGAGCCAGCUUCAAAAUAUGGCCCUCCAGACCUUGAAAAAAGAACUGCUCUUAACAUGCCAUCAGCCACCCACUGACUGCAGUUUAUCCUAGAAAUACUUGUCUGCACAGUUAACCUGUCUCCUAGAGUCAUGACCCAGCUUGUCAGCUUAACGCAGCAUCUGCAAAGCCUGCAGCGAAUUAGCUCUGCCUUCACAUGCAGCUGUGAUCCAGUCAUAUACGCGUAAGUGGAAUCUGUGGAAAUUUUCCAGAAUAUUUGUAAUUCUGACAUUGCAGUGGACACAAAUGUCACGUAAGAGGAGGAAAAACCUAGGUCCUAAAUCAGUAAUGCUUGGGGGGUCUAGUAGCUGUUCCUGUUGCACUACAAUAAUUUCUAGGUUUUUAAGCAAUGAUUUUUCCAUUACCUAAUCUAGUAUCUGACCCCUUUGAGGAAGGGAAAGUUAAAAGCGUGACCUUUUUAAAAAGUUACUUUCUCGUGUGGCUCUUUAACCUUCUGUGGUUACUGUUUGGACUGCCCGGAAGACCAGAUGGGGACAGUCUAAGCUGGAACUUCAGUCCUCUCUCAUGCUGAACUUUAAAGGUAGUUCAGCCUUCCCUCUCCCCUUCCAGAAAUGUUUAUCUGAGCCCCGCUGAUGUUUGUUCCUUUACCUGCCUUCCACAAGUGUCUUUGACAUGAGCUCCCGUCAUGCAGCACGUUUAACAUCCCUCCAGCUGUUGCUGCCUUGAUUGCUAUCUGCGUGGUCCAGAUCUAGAUCUGGAGCUUGGAGUUGAGCGACUGAUGCCUGACUGAUGUCCUUAAACUGUCUGUUCCUCCACCCGGCUUGUGGUGGUUGAAAAACACCUCUUGCUCCUUGGUGACUUGGGCUUUCCAGGAACUGCUGCAGCACUUAGCUCUAGGAUGAACAGAGCAUUAGGGCAGGCAGUUGUCUGGUGCAGCUGCGUUGAAGCUGCUGCUCCUUGCACAAGCGGUUGUGAAGCUCUUCAGUUGUGCGUCCAUUGCUAAAACGCCUCCUAACCCAACUAUGGCUUUAUUUAGCAGGCCUUUUUCCAUUGUUAUAUAACCUAAUUGGACUUUAAAAUUGACCUGAAUACAUAGCAAACUUAAAUGUGUGGCCUUUCAGGGGGGAGGGGGAGAUGGCAAUUCAAGGCCAAUAUAACUAUUUUAUGCCUUUUUAUUGUGCUGUUUCCUUUUCUUAUGUGCGUGCCCUCAGAUAGGCUCUGCGUUUGCAUGGCUUCAAGACAAGUAAACAGACUCUCUCGCUCCUAAGCGAGCCUGUUUCCUGAAAGCGCCUGGGAGAUGUGGUGUUUGCAUGGUUUCUUUCUUGGGACUUUCCAAAUUGUUGCGCCGCAAAUUUAAAUUGCGGGGAGGGGGUGGACGACGACCAGCAGGACUUUCUUAAAACUGACUUUGUGAGGGCAUAUAAAGGGCCUUUUGUCUAACCCUUGGGAAUUUAACAUUUGAAACAUAUAUUUCUAAAUGGCUCUGUUAAGUUUGUUGUUAAGGCCACUACCAAACCAGUUUCCAAAAGAAAAAUUUGGAUGUUGUCCUGCGGAGCAACAGAAUUAACUUGUUACUUUGGUGUAACCCUCUCAGAGAGGUUAUAGAUGUAACUCGGCCAAAUCUGAUCGCUCUCUUUGACUUAAUGUUCUUUCCCUUCAGAGCAGCUACUGACUUCUGUUGCCAGUAGCGAACGCGGAGGAAAGCGAGAAGAAAAACGAAAUGUUCAGGGUAACACAAGGCUAUUGGGCAGCUUCUCCUUAGCUCUCUUUGUGCAGUAGCAUUUUAAAGGAAACGUGCUGUUCUUGUCUGGCAACGUGGGAAGCUCUGUUCAGUUCUCAGCAUGCUGAAAUGCAGCUUCUGUGUUGGUUUUUCCAAAUAAAAAUGUGAGUCCCUUCA
ensembl:lncRNA